UACAGAGGGUGCAAGCGUUGUUCGGAAUUAUUGGGCGUAAAGCGCGUGUAGGCGGCUUUGCAAGUCGGGUGUGAAAGCCCUCGGCUCAACGAGGAAGUGCGCCCGAAACUGCAGAGCUUGAGUGCCGGAGAGGGUGGCGGAAUUCCCCCAAGUAGAGGUGAAAUUCGUAGAUAUGGGGAGGAACACCGGUGGCGAAGGCGGCCGACCUGGACGGUAACUGACGCUGAGACGCGAAGCGUGGGAGC
rnacentral:rRNA from 1 species